AUUGAACGCUGGCGGCAUGCCUUACACAUGCAAGUCGAACGGCAGCGCGGACUUCGGUCUGGCGGCGAGUGGCGAACGGGUGAGUAACACAUCGGAACGUGCCCUGUUGUGGGGGAUAACUAGUCGAAAGAUUAGCUAAUACCGCAUACGACCUGAGGGUGAAAGUGGGGGACCGCAAGGCCUCACGCAGCAGGAGCGGCCGAUGUCUGAUUAGCUAGUUGGUGGGGUAAAGGCCCACCAAGGCGACGAUCAGUAGCUGGUCUGAGAGGACGAUCAGCCACACUGGGACUGAGACACGGCCCAGACUCCUACGGGAGGCAGCAGUGGGGAAUUUUGGACAAUGGGGGCAACCCUGAUCCAGCAAUGCCGCGUGUGUGAAGAAGGCCUUCGGGUUGUAAAGCACUUUUGUCCGGAAAGAAAUCGCGCUGGUUAAUACCUGGCGUGGAUGACGGUACCGGAAGAAUAAGCACCGGCUAACUACGUGCCAGCAGCCGCAGUAA
rnacentral:rRNA from 1 species